rnacentral:lncRNA from 1 species
AGGCCACUCAUAAAUUAGUUCAGAGGAUUGAAGUUAUUAAGUGAGGCUUCCAGAAACAGUUCUUAUUCACUUUGACAAAUUGCUGAGGAAAUCACAUGUACAUCUACAAUGUAUACAUACAAGAAUGGAAUACAAAUGAAUAUUGAAUUGAUAAGCAUAAAGAGCAUUAUUUUUUUCUCAUGAACAAAAACAUGAACAGGUAUGAUCUCAAUCACAAGGGAUAUAAAUUUGAAAAUGUGGUAUAAUUUCCAAUGAGACAACUCUCUAUCCAAGUCACAAUGUAUAAAAAGUAAUCAAUUAUUGGUGAGCUUGAAUAAAUCUCAUACCCUAAAAAGUUAUCACUGCAUUUGUACCACAUAACUCUAGUCUAGUCUGUGAUAGAACAGUUAUCAAAGGUACCGGGAUUAUAAUUAAUACGCCAGACGCUCGCUUUGUCUUCAUAAAACUCAUCAGUGACGCUCAGAUCUAAAUAGUUAUAAAGCCA